AAUGAACGCUAGCGGCAGGCUUAAUACAUGCAAGUCGAGGGACAGCACAGGUAGCAAUACUGGGUGGUACCGGCAAACGGGUGCGGAACACGUACACAACCUUCCUUUAAGUGGGGGAUAGCCCAGAGAAAUUUGGAUUAAUACCCCGUAAUAUAGUUGAAUGGCAUCAUUUGAUUAUUAUAGCUACGGCGCUUAAUGAUGGGUGUGCGGCUGAUUAGAUAGUUGGCGGGGUAACGGCCCACCAAGUCUACGAUCAGUAGCUGAUGUGAGAGCAUGAUCAGCCAAACGGGCACUGAGACACGGGCCCGACUCCUACGGGAGGCAGCAGUAAGGAAUAUUGGUCAAUGGACGCAAGUCUGAACCAGCCAUGCCGCGUGAAGGAUUAAGGUCCUCUGGAUUGUAAACUUCCUUUAUUUGGGACGAAAAAGGGCCUUUCUAGGUCAACUGACGGUACCAGAUGAAUAAGCACCGGCUAACUCCGUGCCAGCCGCCGCGGUAAAAC
rnacentral:rRNA from 1 species